UUAAACACCCUUUAUUCCUUCAGAAAAGAAAAAAUAUACAGUCCAUCUCAGCAUGAAUGUGAAAAGAAACAAGAACUGUCAAGGAAACAAAAAAUCAGCAGCAAUCCCAUGAUUAUGACUCAAGCCUGGAAGAUGAUGUGGUAGGGACACUUCAGGGCACAACCCGAGGACGUUGCUGCUUCUCCUUCAGGUGUAUACAGCUUCGGAGAUCUUGUAUUUGGAAUGCUUGAAGGGGCCCAGACGUUGAAUUAAGGUCUUGUUUCACUGUU